rnacentral:rRNA from 1 species
UACGGAGGAUCCAAGCGUUAUCCGGAAUUACUGGGCGUAAAGAGUUGCGUAGGUGGCAUAGUAAGUCAGUAGUGAAAGCGUCCGGCUCAACCGGAUAUACAUUACUGAAACUGCUGAGCUAGAGGAUGAGAGAGGUUAUUGGAAUUCCUAGUGUAGGAGUGAAAUCCGUAGAUAUUAGGAGGAACACCGAUGGCGUAGGCAGAUAACUGGCUCGUUCCUGACACUAAGGCACGAAAGCGUGGGGAGCAAACGGG